CGGCCGCUCGCGGGGUGCGCCGGGGGCUCCGAUGGGAACCGAGCGCGGGGGGCCCGGGACCACACAGGUGAGCCCCGCCCGCGGGCUCCCAAUCCACCGAGUUCCCCUAUCCCACGAUCCCGCCCGCCAUCCCCUCCCCCUCGCUCCUCCACCCCAGCUCCGAAGCACUUUCCCAAGCCCGAAGGAGCCCUCGCUGCACCCCGAACCCGUUCUCCGCGUCCUGCUUUCUCCGAAGGGGAAAAAAAAAGGAGAGAAAGAGAGAGAAGCAAGCAGAUGCGGCGCAAAGCGGGGCGCAGGACGGCAAGGGGCCGCUUCCAGCCUGGAGGGACUUUUCUUGGAAAGGUGGAGACCCCCAGAGGAGUGCGACUCCCCAAGGGCCCGAUGCCCUGGAGCGAAAAGGCGUUCGCUGGUCAGCCUUGCUGCCAGAAAUUUAGCAAACUUCGGGCAGAUCCUCCCACCUGGGGCGAGAGCUCUGGCUGGCCUGGGGCUCAGCCCCGGGACCUUUCCUUUCACACUUUAAGAGCCUCAAGGCACUUUUUCCGUGGAAACCAGGCCAGCGCGAGGACAACUU
ensembl:processed_transcript Gm20033 predicted gene, 20033